CCUUACCUGGUACUGCAGGAAUGAUUGUGGGGAGGGGCAAAGGAUCAGGUGAGCUGAAGUUCAAAUUCAGGACAAAAGUUCUCCUUCAGUGACUCUUUGAGGAAAUUGGAACUGGCCCUCAAUUUAGGGACUAUCCUGAAAGAUUUGGGACAGUUACUUCAAUGGAGAGCAGCUGCAAUGGAGCCGUGCAAGGUCCCCAGAGGUACACAGAUGUGGUCAAUUGGUAAUGGCAGCUGCUGUGCGAGAAAGAAUGUCCACCAACAGAUUCAGAGUGAAAAAUCAAUAAAGUGGUAGAAGCCAGAUAGCAUGGAAUAUACAACUCUUAGACCUCCAUUUAUGCACAAUGUGACCUUGACCUGUAUACAUCUAUUCUGCAAUUUCCUAUCAUUAAUUUAUUAUGUACCUCUCCUGACCAUAUCACUACAAGCCACACAGAAAAACAACUCUCAAUUGCUAGAUUCUUUUUAAAGGGGCAGACUUACUAGAGAACAGAAAAUCAUAUUGUUUACAACAAAGUGAGAAAAUAUUUUUUUCCUUAUUCAUAAUUGGAGUUACCAUGAUUUCAGUCCCUAAAAGCUAGUCAUAGCAUACGCUUAAGAUUGCUAUGGCAUUACUUUCAGCAAGAAUUUAUAAUGAUAGCAUAUUUCUGCCCUAGCCUUGUGAUGUUUUUUCUUCUAUUUUUAUGAAAGCAUGAACAUAGGGAAAGCAUGAAAACAGAUGAAGGAAAAUAUUUUUCCAUCCCUUUAAAAAAAAAACAAUCCUCAUUACCCACAUACUACUGCCAUCAGAAGUAUGUGGUAUCACCCUUUUACAGAUGAAAUGAGAUAGAGAAAUUAGUGACUUGACUGAGGCCACACAGCAAGCCAACAGCAAGCCAACAGUGGAGUUGGAAACAAGAGCUAGCAGGUAUUUUAGGUACCUUAGUGAUGAUGAGCAAAGUAGAAAUACAUAUGGCAUGUACAAACAUUCACUCUCCCAUGAGAAAUUCCUGGGAGUUUAUGCUGCUACAACUACGUUAACUCUCCUGAGAGUGAAUUAACCCUGGUUGUUCCCAGGUUAUUUUUCUCCUGGAGCAGCCAUUUUUACUCUAGGAGAAAAAACCUGAAUAUCUGUAUAUUCAUCACGAGUCACUAGAGAACAGUGGCUCUCCAGGAGAAACUGAACAUCUAUAUGAAGCUAUUGAUAGAGAAACACUUGAGUUUUGUUCCUACUCCCAAAGCCCUGCUAUCAGACUGUUUACCAUUAUCUCACAACAUUCACUUUUUUUUUUUAAUGUUUCUUAUGAUACACUUGUUACGUGGAUUCAACAAUGCUAAAAUUAGGGCUAGGUGAGCCACAAAAGUUCCUGAGAAAUGGUUGGCUAUUAUAAAAGCAAGUCUAGAGUUGGCAUUGUUUAUAUUUUUCAAUAAGUGCUAAAUGUUUCAUGAUCUUAUAAGAGAUGUAGUUCUUUUUAACACCUAAAAGUUUGGAGAAAGUCUGGAUAAGAUUCAAAAUAGCACCCAACAUUUUGAAUACUUUAUUGAAAUAAACUUCAUAGGUUCACCCAUGAUUACUAAAACUAUAGCAUUAAUUAGAAUAGAUGGCAUCACCAUCUAUUGGGCUACUUGGUGUCUCAGAUUUCUGGGACUUCCUUAUGAUUCCCACAAACCCUGGGUAAUAAUAUGUAGCUUGGUAUCUGUACUCCUUGAGCAAGCACUACUGAUAAAACUUUGCUAACCCUGUUUUAAGACUUGUUCCUGAAUCAUUAAAAUCAACUGGCCUUUUACCACUGACUUCUACAGGAGCAGGAUCAAGUCCUUUCAGGGUCCUCUUGUCAACUGCUCUGGACUGUGUGAUGCCAGGUAAGUGCCUCCUGACCUGGUGCCAUAUCCCAUCUAUUUUGACCCAUCCUCUGGCUUGUAGAGUAAACCUGGGAUUUUUGCUUACAGGGCCAGUCUCUAAUCCUUUCUAAAGACCUGGUUAGGAACCUGAAGGGUACACAACCCAAAACAUUACAUCUUAAUUUACAGAUUUGCAGUUAAGAUUCCACAGUUCUUUUUGUUCUUGAUUUAAUCUUUAGGGAUUUACUCUUUUCCCAAGCUUUACUUUCUGGUAUUGCUGCUACUCCCAGGGGCAUGUCAGGAUCUAUUAUGCAUGCCUGCCUUUCACUUUUGAUAGUAAAAUGUAAACAAGGUGUAAAAAGAAACUGCUUUCCUUGUUUGUCCUUAAUAAGCACUUGUAAAACAAGUGGCCUUCUUUCCUUGCCAGCUACAUCUCCUGGCUAAAAAGACUGAAAGUUACAAGCUAGACCUUUUCGUGCACUGGGAGUGGUGCUGGGCUGAGAGUGGAAACAACAGAUAUAAAUAUCCUCCUCUGCCCUGGAAAGUAAAGAGCGUGGACAGGCAGCAUUUGCUUGGGCUGUUUUCUCCCCACCAGCCUGUGAGCGCUGGGUAUUUGCCUGCUCCGUUUAUGCGCAGGAGCCAAUAGAAGCAGAGGCAGAUCACCCCGAGAAGGAGGUAAACAAGUUGUUUACAACUCCGUCGUGGAUCCUCCUUGCGGGGCUGAAAGGCAAUCAGAGCCUCGGACGGGGGGGUUGCUGAUGGGAGAGCAGCCCCGGCGCUGCCAAACUCUGGCUCCAGAAACGUCUGCGGGGCUUCAAUAACAGGAAAUCACGUGUGCUGUCAUUAUCAGCUGCGGAGAGAGACAGAUGCACCCAGAUCAAU